CUCAUUUUAAAUCAAAAUUUCGUCUAUAGCUGGAAUCAUCCAUCCACAGUUAUGAACUUAUGACAUAUCACACCAGGUGAUCUCGUGUUCGUAUUUUAGCCAAUCAGCGCUCAGAAAGGGUUGUCCGAAUAGAAAUCCAUUUUGAUGUAUUCAGUCAAUUAUAUCUUUCGUUAUUCUUUAUGAAACUAGUUGAAAUUUUGUAAUUGUGUUUGGUUAUGAGAACUCUAGCUCUGACAAAAAUAUGGAAUCCAAAUAAAAUAUAGUCCAGGAGAUAUUCAGUUGUUUUAAUCAUAAAAUGGAUUUCUAUUUGACAACUAGUGCCAGUACUUUUCCGCGUAUCAAGAUCAUCUGGAAUUUUGCAUCGUUGGAGGAUUUGUAAGAAAUUCUUGAGGGAAUUGGUUCACUGUUUAACACUGAGUCAGUUCCCUCGAA